GCUCGGUUAGCUCAGUUGGUUAGAGCGUCGUACUAAUGUUAUGAGAGAUUAUAACAUUAGUAAUGCGAAGGUCAUGAGUUCGACCCUCAUACUGAGCA